UGAUGCGAUUUCGGUCAAUCAUGUGGCAUUCGAGUGGCGGACGGGUGAGUAACGCGUGGGUAACCUGCCUUACACAGGGGGAUAACACCUGGAAACAGGUGCUAAUACCGCAUAAGCGCACAGGGCCGCAUGGCCCGGUGUGAAAAACUCCGGUGGUGUAAGAUGGACCCGCGUCUGAUUAGCUUGUUGGCGGGGUAGGGGCCCACCAAGGCGACGAUCAGUAGCCGGCCUGAGAGGGUGGACGGCCACAUUGGGACUGAGACACGGCCCAAACUCCUACGGGAGGCAGCAGUGGGGGAUAUUGGACAAUGGGGGAAACCCUGAUCCAGCGACGCCGCGUGAGUGAAGAAGUAUUUCGGUAUGUAAAGCUCUGUCAGCAGGGAAGAAAGAAAUGACGGUACCUGACCAAGAGGCCCCGGCUAACUACGUGCCAGCAGCCGCGGUAAUACGUAGGGGGCAAGCGUUAUCCGGAAUUACUGGGUGUAAAGGGAGCGUAGACGGUGAUGCAAGUCUGGAGUGAAAGGCGGGGGCCCAACCCCCGGACUGCUCUGGAAACUGUGUAACUUGAGUGCAGGAGAGGUAAGCGGAAUUCCUAGUGUAGCGGUGAAAUGCGUAGAUAUUAGGAGGAACACCAGUGGCGAAGGCGGCUUACUGGACUGUAACUGACGUUGAGGCUCGAAAGCGUGGGGAGCAAACAGGAUUAGAUACCCUGGUAGUCCACGCCGUAAACGA
rnacentral:rRNA from 1 species